GCUGCUGGGAAAGGGCCGUCACUCCUUGGGACAGGGAGGAGUGUCUAGAGGCUGCAGAGACGAGUAGGCUCUCCCAGCUUCAGGUCCUCGGCUGUGCCCCACCAAUGGCUGAACAGUUGAGCUGAACCAGUAUUCAGGGAUGUAACAGAGUGGCUUGCCUGAUGCACUGGAGAGCUUGGAACUAAGCCAGCCUUGGUGACAGGAUGGGCUCCACCUGAGAGGAAUCAGGUGAUCCUAAUACAAAAGGAGCAGGCAGUUGCAGUGAAGAGGGAAGCCCAAGAAGCUGCAGCUAGAGCUGUACACACUGUGGAGAGCAAGAAGAGUCCUGCAGGGCUGAAGCUCAAGAGACAGGAAAGAGGUGUCAAGUGAGCCCUGAAGAUGUCACCAGGAGCCUGAGACUUGCAGUGUUUACAACCCAGUGAAAAGCAGAAUGUGUAAGAAAUCUUGUUCCUGUGGGCUUUCCGGCAGAGUUUCUAGGCCAAAGAUGUUCAGCCUCUUCUGAAGCAUGUGACACUGACCACUUUCAGAGACAAGAUGGUGGACUGAUCCAGUCUGAUCCAGUAUGGCAAUUCCUAUGUUCCCAAGACAUAGUCCUGCCCCAGAAUAGCUGACUGCAUGAGGCCCUGAUGAUCCGGCAAGCUGAUCCGUGGAGGUGAAUCCCUGCACCUGUGCUGAUCCCCGUUAUAGUAAGCACACAUUUUAAGUGAUCAAAUUUUAAUAGUGAAAAAUCAAUGUUCUUUCCUGGAAACCAUGGGAAACUGAAGUCAAGCUGAGAAAUACCACCAUUUACCCAGCAUUCUUGUGAGCUUGUGAAGAAAAUGAGGCACUGUGUUUUUGCACAAUUUGUAAAAUCUACCCCUCUUUUUCAUGUGGGAACUUAGGGUCCAGUCCUGUUCUGACUGAAGUCAAUGGCAGUUUUGAGUGUGACUAGGGUCUUAACUUGAUCCAAGAAGACCAGCAACCUAAAUCACUGAUUCAGAAAGGGGGGAACUAUUGCCCGUUCUGUACUUUCUAAGGACUUGCAUGAAGACAUAUUGAAAAUAAAUGAGUUUGUCAGUGGAGGGCAGGCAUUGUCUAACCCAUGUCUGAAUCAGAUAAAUUAUUUCUCAGCCAUCUGCUGUACACUAGAUGGCUCUUUUGUGGAGUGGCACA